rnacentral:sRNA from 3 species
UAUCUCUCCGUACGGGGAAGGAUGAGAAGCUUCGACUAAGGUUCGAUUCGAGCGCAGCGAGAAAGCGUUGCCGCAGGCAACGACCCGAAGGGCGAAGCGCGCAGCGCUGAGUCAUC